AUUGAACGCUGGCGGCAGGCCUAACACAUGCAAGUCGAGCGGAUGAAGGGAGCUUGCUCCUGGAUUCAGCGGCGGACGGGUGAGUAAUGCCUAGGAAUAUGCCUGGUAGUGGGGGAUAACGUCCGGAAACGGGCGCUAAUACCGCAUACGUCCUGAGGGAGAAAGUGGGGGAUCUUCGGACCUCACGCUAUCAGAUGAGCGUAGGUCGGAUUAGCUAGUUGGUGGGGUAAAGGCCUACCAAGGCGACGAUCCGUAACUGGUCUGAGAGGAUGAUCAGUCACACUGGAACUGAGACACGGUCCAGACUCCUACGGGAGGCAGCAGUGGGGAAUAUUGGACAAAGGGCGAAAGCCUGAUCCAGCCAUGCCGCGUGUGUGAAGAAGGUCUUCGGAUUGUAAAGCACUUUAAGUUGGGAGGAAGGGCAGUAAGUUAAUACCUUGCUGUUUUGACGUUACCAACAGAAUAAGCACCGGCUAACUUCGUG
rnacentral:rRNA from 1 species